rnacentral:rRNA from 1 species
GAUAAACGCUGGCGGCGUGCCUAACACAUGCAAGUCGAACGCCCUUACGCAAGUAAGGGAGUGGCGGACGGGUGAGGAACACGUGGGUGAUCUGCCUUGAGGUGAGGAAUACCGGCGAGAAUACGCCGACAAUACCGCAUACGUUCGCAAGAACAAAGUACGCAAGACGCCUUGAGAUGAGCCUGCGUCCGAUUAGCUAGUUGGUGGGAAAGCGUACCAGCAGCGAUCGGUAGCUGGUCUGA